AUAAUUUCAUUGAAGAGAAGAGUAUCCAUUUAAAUACUCGAAGCGAGCAGGAGAGGGUGUAAGUCCUGUAGUGUUUUAUUGGAGAAUAGAGUCUUGGAGAAGCUGCUAAGUUGUAUUUAAUUAAAUACAAUGAGGUUUGCCGUUAACUGCGUUAAAGUUUUGAGUGAGCUAAACUUAGCUAACUAGAGUGGUACCGCGGAUAUAUCCGUCUCUGUU
rnacentral:ncRNA from 1 species